rnacentral:rRNA from 1 species
UCGUUCCUACGGGAGGCAGCAGUGAGGAAUAUUGGUCAAUGGGCGCGAGCCUGAACCAGCCAAGUAGCGUGAAGGAUGACUGUCCUACGGGUUGUAAACUUCUUUUAUAAAGGAAUAAAGUGAGGCACGUGUGCCUUUUUGUAUGUAUUUUAUGAAUAAGGAUCGGCUAACUCCGUGCCAGCAGCCGCGGUAAUACGGAGGAUCCGAGCGUUAUCCGGAUUUAUUGGGUUUAAAGGGAGCGUAGAUGGGUUGUUAAGUCAGUUGUGCAAGUUUGCGGCUCAACCGUAAAAUUGAAAUUGAUACUG